GACGAACGCUGGCGGCGUGCUUAACACAUGCAAGUCGAGCGAUGAAAUUCCUUCGGGAACGGAUUAGCGGCGGACGGGUGAGUAACACGUGGGUAACCUGCCUCAUAGAGGGGAAUAGCCUUUCGAAACGAAGAUUAAUACCGCAUAAGAUUGUAGUUUCGCAUGAAACAGCAAUUAAAGGAGUAAUCCGCUAUGAGAUGGACCCGCGUCGCAUUAGCUAGUUGGUGAGGUAACGGCUCACCAAGGCGACGAUGCGUAGCCGACCUGAGAGGGUGAUCGGCCACAUUGGGACUGAGACACGGCCCAGACUCCUACGGGAGGCAGCAGUGGGGAAUAUUGCACAAUGGGGGAAACCCUGAUGCAGCAACGCCGCGUGAGUGAUGAAGGUCUUCGGAUUGUAAAACUCUGUCUUUGGGGACGAUAAUGACGGUACCCAAGGAGGAAGCCACGGCUAACUACGU
rnacentral:rRNA from 1 species